rnacentral:tRNA from 2 species
GGAGAGAUGGCAGAGUGGUCUAAUGCGACGGUCUUGAAAACCGUUAUCUCGGGGAACCGGGAUCGAGGGUUCGAAUCCCUCUCUCUCCUCCA